rnacentral:rRNA from 1 species
GAUGAACGCUGGCGGCGUGCCUAAUACAUGCAAGUCGAGCGAACAGGCGCGGCGCUUGCUCCUCUGACGUUAGCGGCGGACGUGUGUGUAACACGUGGAUAACCUACCUAUAAGACUGGGAUAUCUUCGGGACACCGGAGCUAAUACCGGAGAAUAUCCUGAACCGCAUGGUUCAAUAGUGAAAUACGGUGUUGCUGUCACUUAUAGAUGGAUCCCGGCCGCAUUGGCUAGUUGGGAAGGUCACGGCUUAUCAAGGCAACGAUGCGUUGCCGACCGGCGAGGGGGAUCGGCGCCACGGGAGCUGGGACAGGGUCAAGACUCCUACGGUAGGCAGCAGUAUGGAAUCGGCCGCAGUGGGCGAGAGCCUGACGGAGCAGCGGCGAGUCAGUGCUGAAGGUCUUGGGAGCGUAAAACUCGGUUUCGAGGUAAGAACAACUUUGGAAGUAGCUAUGCAGGGCUUGACGGUACUUAGUCAGAAAGCCACGGCUAACUACGUG